rnacentral:rRNA from 1 species
UAAAGAGUUCUAUAACUCCCAAACCCAUGUGAACAUACCUAACGUUGCCUCGGCAGGUCGCACCUACCUUGUAGCACCCUACCCUGUAGGGCCUACCCGGGAGAUGCGGGUAAGCCUGCCGGCGGCCCACCAAACUCUGUUUGAUAUUGAAUUCUGAACAUAUAACUAAAUAAGUUAAAACUUUCAACAACGGAUCUCUUGGUUCUGGCAUCGAUGAAGAACGCAGCGAAAUGCGAUAAGUAAUGUGAAUUGCAGAAUUCAGUGAAUCAUCGAAUCUUUGAACGCAUAUUGCGCCCAUUAGUAUUCUAGUGGGCAGGACCGUUCGAGCGUCAUUUCGACCCUUAAGCCUUAGUUGCUUAGUGUUGGGAGCCUACGGCAACGUAGCUCCUCAAAGUUAGUGGCGGAGUUGGUUCACACUCUAGACGUAGUAAUUUUUUAUCUCGCCUAUUAGUUGGACUGAUCCCCUGCCGUAAAACCCCCAACUUAUCAAGGUUGACCUCGAAUCGGUUCAGACAAACUCGCUAAAUUGAAGCAUCUUAGUCAGCGAA